rnacentral:rRNA from 1 species
GAUGAACGCUGGCGGCGUGCCUAAUACAUGCAAGUCGAGCGAACAGAUGAGGAGCUUGCUCCUCUGACGUUAGCGGCGGACGGGUGAGUAACACGUGGAUAACCUACCUAUAAGACUGGGAUAACUUCGGGAAACCGGAGCUAAUACCGGAUAAUAUAUUGACCCGCAUGGUUCAAUAGUGAAAGACGGUUUUGCUGUCACUUAUAGAUGGAUCCGCGCCGCAUUAGCUAGUUGGUAAGGUAACGGCUUACCAAGGCAACGAUGCGUAGCCGACCUGAGAGGGUACUCGGCCACACUGGAACUGAGACACGGUCCAGACUCCUACGGGAGGCAGCAGUAGGCAAUCUUCCGCAAUAGGCGAAAGCCUGACGGAGCAACGCCGCGUGAGUGAUGAAGGUCUUCGGAUCGUAAAACUCUGUUAUUAGGGAAGAACAAAUGUGUAAGUAACUAUGCACGUCUUGACGGUACCUAAUCAGAAAGCCACGGCUAACUACGUG